UGAAAUAACAUAGAUACUGAUGGUGUAAUAGA
rnacentral:sRNA from 1 species